AUGUCCCGUGUGUUAGAGAACCAACUAAAGAGUUUAUCUUCUGCUGCUGGGAAGACUGUCGGGAAGACUGCAAGCACCCGUCCUGCAUCCCACUCGCGUGAAGUAAAAGAUACCGGCAAGCAAGCUGACGAAGUUUCAGAUUCUGAUCAUGGGGAUAGUGAUGGUGGCGGUGAUGGUCACUCUGACGAAGAUCUAGAUUUUCACGUUCAUUACUAUGGUUCUUCAGGUGGGCCGAACACCCAUGAGGCUUCAGGUAGUGGGGGUAGUGAUGGUCCGAAUGCCCAUGAUGCUUCAGGUAGUGGCGCAGCGAAUGCAGAUGUGGGUGCAACCAUGUUUGCAACUGCCAAUGUGUCGGUAAGGUCAGCCGGAAUUGAUGCAACUGCUACUGCAGGAACCGAUCAGCCUCUCGAGUCUCAGAUUAUGCUUACUGCACAUUCCGGGAAUGUAUCUAGUGAUGGAUUGCAUAACCAGCCAGAUAUGACGGAUACUCAAAACAAGGUUGUUGUUGAUGCUUCUGUGAAGAGGUGCGGUUCUUCUCUUGUCCGUAACUUGGAAAAGCAAUAUUCCAGGCGUCGCAAGAAAUUACGCCUACCUUCUCCGCCCAUGUCCACUGGUACAACUAUUUCUGACCAGCCGUCAUUGGAUGAUACACAUUGUUCUAUCAAGGCAAUAGUCAUCAAUGAGCUUGGCAUUGUAGGCCCUGAUAAGGGCACUAACUCAGUAAUUGCCAAUCCCACGCGGAAGAAGCAACAUCCUCUCAAGUGA
rnacentral:rRNA from 1 species